GGGAACCGUUUGGAGCCAGACUGGCUUGUCUGUAAUCAGUCUAAGCUUCGGCUUGGAUGCACUUGCGGGCUAUGCCUGCCAACGACAAUUUGGCUUGAGGGAAAAAACUAGGGGAAAUGUGGCCCAUCCGUGGGUGUUAUAGUCCCUUAGAAAAUACCUUGGGCUGGAUUGAGGAACGCAGCGAAUGCUAUUUGGCGAGUUGGCUGGGAGAAUUUUCUGAGGUGCUCCGGCACUGAGGUUGAUCCUUUCAGUUAUACUUCUAUUCGCUUAGGUUGUUGGCUUAAUGACUCUAAAUGACCCGU
rnacentral:rRNA from 1 species